rnacentral:rRNA from 1 species
UUAAUGAGAGUUUGAUCCUGGCUCAGGACGAACGCUGGCGGCGUGCCUAAUACAUGCAAGUAGAACGCUGAAGAGAGGAGCUUGCUCUUCUUGGAUGAGUUGCGAACGGGUGAGUAACGCGUAGGUAACCUGCCUUGUAGCGGGGGAUAACUAUUGGAAACGAUAGCUAAUACCGCAUAACAAUGGAUGACACAUGUCAUUUAUUUGAAAGGGGCAAUUGCUCCACUACAAGAUGGACCUGCGUUGUAUUAGCUAGUAGGUGAGGUAAUGGCUCACCUAGGCGACGAUACAUAGCCGACCUGAGAGGGUGAUCGGCCACACUGGGACUGAGACACGGCCCAGACUCCUACGGGAGGCAGCAGUAGGGAAUCUUCGGCAAUGGGGGCAACCCUGACCGAGCAACGCCGCGUGAGUGAAGAAGGUUUUCGGAUCGUAAAGCUCUGUUGUAAGUCAAGAACGGGUGUGAGAGUGGAAAGUUCACACUGUGACGGUAGCUUACCAGAAAGGGACGGCUAACUACGUGCCAGCAGCCGCGGUAAUACGUAGGUCCCGAGCGUUGUCCGGAUUUAUUGGGCGUAAAGCGAGCGCAGGCGGUUUGAUAAGUCUGAAGUUAAAGGCUGUGGCUCAACCAUAGUUCGCUUUGGAAACUGUCAAACUUGAGUGCAGAAGGGGAGAGUGGAAUUCCAUGUGUAGCGGUGAAAUGCGUAGAUAUAUGGAGGAACACCAGUGGCGAAAGCGGCUCUCUGGUCUGUAACUGACGCUGAGGCUCGAAAGCGUGGGGAGCGAACAGGAUUAGAUACCCUGGUAGUCCACGCCGUAAACGAUGAGUGCUAGGUGUUGGAUCCUUUCCGGGAUUCAGUGCCGCAGCUAACGCAUUAAGCACUCCGCCUGGGGAGUACGACCGCAAGGUUGAAACUCAAAGGAAUUGACGGGGGCCCGCACAAGCGGUGGAGCAUGUGGUUUAAUUCGAAGCAACGCGAAGAACCUUACCAGGUCUUGACAUCCCGAUGCUAUUUCUAGAGAUAGAAAGUUACUUCAGUACAUCGGUGACAGGUGGUGCAUGGUUGUCGUCAGCUCGUGUCGUGAGAUGUUGGGUUAAGUCCCGCAACGAGCGCAACCCCUAUUGUUAGUUGCCAUCAUUCAGUUGGGCACUCUAGCGAGACUGCCGGUAAUAAACCGGAGGAAGGUGGGGAUGACGUCAAAUCAUCAUGCCCCUUAUGACCUGGGCUACACACGUGCUACAAUGGUUGGUACAACGAGUUGCGAGUCGGUGACGGCGAGCUAAUCUCUUAAAGCCAAUCUCAGUUCGGAUUGUAGGCUGCAACUCGCCUACAUGAAGUCGGAAUCGCUAGUAAUCGCGGAUCAGCACGCCGCGGUGAAUACGUUCCCGGGCCUUGUACACACCGCCCGUCACACCACGAGAGUUUGUAACACCCGAAGUCGGUGAGGUAACCUUUUGGAGCCAGCCGCCUAAGGUGGGACAGAUGAUUGGGGUGAAGUCGUAACAAGGUAGCCGUAUCGGAAGGUGCGGCUGGAUCACCUCCUUUCUAAGGAA